UAAAAUUAAGCACAUUUCUUUUUCACAAGGGUGUUCACAAUUCUUUUUCAUUGUAUGGGAAAGAGCAGCGUGAACAUUCUACUAAACGUCUCAUGUUGCGUUCCACAGAUUUGGAACAACAUGAGGGUGAGUAAAUGAUGAUAAUUUUAUUUAUUUUUUUUAAGUGAACUGUCCCUUUCGAUAUUUAAUACAUUGAUUAAUGCAUGAAAUAUUUCAAAGUGUAUAUGCCCUUCAAUGUUUUUGCAAUAAUAAAUUGUAGUAUGUGACCUCGGGCAUCUUUUCAACUCAGGGAGUCCGGGGAGUCUGGCCACACCAAGCUGAACUGUGAACUUGCAACUUCCUGUGCUGUAGGCGUCUGUUGCUAGGAAACAAGUGGCCCACUCCGUCAAUUUCAGCUGGGGUGAAAUAAAUGCCACACUUGAUAUUGCAGGUCAUGACCACCCAUUGGGCUCGGAGGAGAGAGAUUCCCUGCACGCCGUCUCCUUGGAAUAUUAAUGGGCUUCUCCUGGGAAAACUGCCCACAGAAUAGGCCACUCCAUCGCUGUCUCUGUUUCCGCUCAGCUGUCCUGAGGGUACGUGAGGGUGUUCGGUACAAUCCGGUCUGGAGAAAACUCAAGUACACCUCAAACUUUUGUUUUGAUGUCUCAUUAAGAACUCUUGAAUGUUUCUUUUUUCCCCCUAUAAUGUCAGUAAAAUAUAUUACUGCUUUUAUUACACAAUAAAAAGCACAGGAACAGCUACAUUUAUGAUGUCAAAUUCCUCAGUCUCAACUUUAGAACCGUAAUCAGUAAUAAGACAUAUUGGUUGAAAUGAGGGGUCAUUAGCAUUUGGGAACAGAUCGUUCGAGCAUUGAGAGAGGUGACAAUGAUGCCGAUCACCACUGGUUUUCAUCACCGGAGCUGCAUACUUCUUUCCCACUCGAUGGCAGAAGCCGAGACAUCUCAUGUGUUUCGCCAUUAUGAGAGUGACCGUCCUAAUGGCUUCUACAGAUGGCAGAGAAAUUUUCCUUCAGUCCCUUUCACAUUCUUUAUCUGUAUUUGACUCUCUGUCACUUGCUUUCAGUCAUUCCACUAUUUCCUCUGCCCCGGUCUGGGUCUCUGAGGUGAGCGCUGAGUUUCUGGCACAUUUAUGUGAAGAAUCUGUUUUUAACAGCCUGCCAAGCUGUGAAUAUAAUAAGAUGAAUUUUAAAUGACAUGGAAGGGUAAUUACAAGUGGAGUUGGAAUGCCCCC